rnacentral:rRNA from 1 species
GACGAACGCUGGCGGCGUGCUUAACACAUGCAAGUCGAACGGAAAGGCCCUGCUUGCAGGGUGCUCGAGUGGCGAACGGGUGAGUAACACGUGGGUGAUCUGCCCCUUGCUUUGGGAUAAGCCUGGGAAACUGGGUCUAAUACUGGAUAGGACCAUGCUGUAGGUGGUGUGGUGGAAAGAUUAGUUUCGGUAAGGGAUGAGCUCGCGGCCUAUCAGCUUGUUGGUGGGGUAAUGGCCUACCAAGGCGUCGACGGGUAGCCGGCCUGAGAGGGUGGACGGCCACAUUGGGACUGAGAUACGGCCCAGACUCCUACGGGAGGCAGCAGUGGGGAAUAUUGCACAAUGGGCGCAAGCCUGAUGCAGCGACGCCGCGUGGGGGAUGACGGCCUUCGGGUUGUAAACUCCUUUCAGCCAUGACGAAGCCCUUGUGGUGACGGUAGUGGUAGAAGAAGCACCGGCUAACUACGUG